rnacentral:rRNA from 1 species
UACGAAGGGGGCUAGCGUUGCUCGGAAUCACUGGGCGUAAAGGGUGCGUAGGCGGGUUUUUAAGUCAGGGGUGAAAUCCUGGAGCUCAACUCCAGAACUGCCUUUGAUACUGAAGAUCUUGAGUCCGGGAGAGGUGAGUGGAACUGCGAGUGUAGAGGUGAAAUUCGCAGAUAUCAGGAGGAACACCGGUGGCGAAGGCGGGAUCCUGGGCCAGUACUGACGCUGAGGAGCGAAAGCGUGGGGAGCAAACAGG